CCCGGGAGGUGUUACUCCCUACCAGCGCUGACAAACACCGACAUGAAUUACAGGAGAAGGACUGAAAAGUUGCCUGCUGGAUGAGGUCACUAAAAGAAGAGAAUUGUCUUUGAUGAAAGAUGAAUGCUGCCAUCUAAGCAGAACGUCUUUACAACUUCCACCACAAACUAAAAACACACGUCUUCCUACGGUAACUUGAAUAAGAAGCACUUUAGCAGCGCCCAAGAUGGCACUUUCUUAUAGCACUUUUGAAACUUGGCUUUCGUGAAUAAAUUGUACUUUCUCGGUUCUUGUCUGUUCUGGGUCUGUAACUUAUUAUAAGUCGGUUUAGAUAAAAGCGGCAGCUAAAUGCAACAUAAUAAUAAUGAUAAUAAUAGCCUCACAUAAGAAUGUGUUACGUCUGAGGCUGUGCAGUUCUGGAUCAAACAUUUACCAAGAUGGAAAACUUCUGCACUGAUUGUGUUGUAUUUCAAAUGUUUUUGCGAAUGUAAAAUAAUUCCAAAUAUAAUAUCAUUCCUGCUUUGAUGAAAACAUCCCAUGACCGCCUUGCCAUUUAUUCUGAUACAUAUUAAAAAAUAAAUUUAAAAAAACAUAUUUCCUGAUAAAAUACAUUUUUUAAAGUCUGAUUUCCUUUGUGAUUGGAUAUGGGAUAUUUAGUGAGCCCAUGGAAUUAUAAUCUAAUCUUAAAGACAAUAUUUUUGUUGUGUUUCUUGUUUCUUCUGUUUUUAUUCUUUUGUAACUGCAAAAUAAUUCUUACAUUAAAAAUCGAAUAACUCAUUUGUAUUUACAUAUGUUCCGCUAGGCUUUCCGAAGGGUUCCUCUGACACCUGCAGCUACCUCUGAGCACUAACGUGGCGGAGAGCCCCAUCUAGUGGCAGCACUUGUGAACUACUCAGACUGUGACGUGAGGGUGUUUCUCACCGUGAAGCUGUCUUCGGCCUGGAACUGGUUGUCCACAUAGAUGCAGACCCUGUCAAAGUCUUUCAUUUCCUCACUGCAGUCAAUGUUCCUGUAAACAACAGAGUUGUUUUUUCUGACGUAGUGCAAAAUAAAUUUGCAAGUCAA